GACGAACGCUGGCGGCGUGCUUAACACAUGCAAGUCGAACGGUAAGGCCCUUCGGGGUACACGAGUGGCGAACGGGUGAGUAACACGUGGGUGAUCUGCCCUGCACUUCGGGAUAAGCCUGGGAAACUGGGUCUAAUACCGGAUAGGACCACUGCCUGCAUGGGUGGUGGUGGAAAGCUUUUGCGGUGUGGGAUGGGCCCGCGGCCUAUCAGCUUGUUGGUGGGGUGAUGGCCUACCAAGGCGACGACGGGUAGCCGGCCUGAGAGGGUGACCGGCCACACUGGGACUGAGAUACGGCCCAGACUCCGACGGGAGGCAGCAGUGGGGAAUAUUGCACAAUGGGCGCAAGCCUGAUGCAGCGACGCCGCGUGAGGGAUGACGGCCUUCGGGUUGUAAACCUCUUUCAGCACCGACGAAGCACAAGUGACGGUAGGUGCAGAAGAAGGACCGGCCAACUACGUGCCAGCAGCCGCCGUAA
rnacentral:rRNA from 1 species